CUUGAAAAUGAAUACAAUGAAGCUAAAUAGAUUGUUGAUGACAUAGUCAAAUUUGCUGUCAGCAAGCAAUGGCAAAAAAAUUGGAAAAAGGCACUUUGUAGGUGAAAUACUUUUAUAUUCUGGUGUGAGAAAAAAACACUAUUAUCGUCGUUAUGUGUACUUUUCAUUGAUUUGAAACUGGCUGUAUAAGAGGCAUUUCAGAAGAUUGAGUGCACUAUCAGGUGCCUCUAAGUGGUCUUAAGAACUUAGAAACCAGGAGCCCCCAAGACUCACAGCCACUUGUUUGGGGAACAAAACAGUCAAUUUGCUCAACAAGCAAUUAUUAGUUUUUAAAUCCUUUUUAAAAAUUUAAAUUCAAUUAAUUAACAUAUAAUUUUUAAUUAUUCAUGUCCGAGGCAGACGUCAGUGAUUCAUCAGUCUAAUCCCCCGUGCUCACGGCAUCACGUGCAAUCAACAGGCAAUUAUUAAGGAUCUAUUCUCAACCAGAUGCUACUGAGGAUCUACUGAGAUCGCAGACAAGACGCCUCUGUCUUGGAAGAGAGUUCAGUCUGAUGGACGAGAAAGACAACACAGAACAGGGUAGUAAGCUCUGUGAUCAUCCUAUCUGAACUGUCGCCGCUCAGCCCCUGGGGCUUGUCAGCUUCAGAAAAGCUAGAAACAGGAGACAGAGUGCAGUCAGAUGCCAGAGAGAGACAGACAAGUUGCCAAAGCCUGGCCCUUGAGUGGAGCGCAGCGCUGGCACGGAGCUGAGGUCAGAUGCCUUCAGCAGGGCUGCUAAGUUAGAGCAAGGGCAGGCCUGGAGGACAAAUGUGACAUCAGGAACGGCAGGGCUUAUGGGAGUGGCAGAGCAAGGGACCGAGAGAUCCAGGGCAGAGGGCCAGGGAGAGCCUGGGGAAGAGCAUCCUGUAGUGGGAAUGUUCUCCGAGACCUGCUCACCCCUCCCAGGAGACGCACCUUCCACCGCUGGCCUUAAGGGCUGCAAAUACCCAACCCAGGAUGGAGCUAGAGAGGGCCAGUGGUGAGGAGCCAGAGGAGUUAAAACUGAGGACUGACACAUGUUUGGCAGUGUGGCCCAACGUUAUCAGCAUAAACUCCAGAGUCCUCGGGUUCGAACAACAGCCUUUGACUUUUGGCGGAUCCUUGGUCAAGACUCCUGGGGCCUCACGUUCCCGUGCUAAAGGAGAAUAGGCGUGUCGUCUUGCUGGAAUGCUGUGAUACUUAAAUGAAAAUGUACAGGAGAGCAGCUUGCUAACUGCCAAGCUAAAAAUAAGUAUUAACUUUUCACGAUUCCUACUGCACUUCAGAAGAAGCAGGCAGCCAGGGACAGGCGUACUGGAGCGCCCCCGGGGACGACUGCAAGGGUCCGGAUGAAGGAGGGUGACCGGGGCAUAGGCUAGAGCAGCGGCCAUGGGGAUGGAGGGCGGGGGGCGCAUUUAAUAGAGAAUUAGAACACUUUACAGACUGGCCUCAGUGACUGAUUGGAGUUGGGGACGGAAGGGAAAGGGGGUCAGGAUGAUUCAGAGCU
rnacentral:lncRNA from 12 species